CAAGUCGAGCGGUAACAGAUCCAGCUUGCUGGAUGCUGACGAGCGGCGGACGGGUGAGUAAUGCAUAGGAAUCUGCCCGAUAGUGGGGGAUAACCUGGGGAAACCCAGGCUAAUACCGCAUACGUCCUACGGGAGAAAGGGGGCUUCGGCUCCCGCUAUCGGAUGAGCCUAUGUCGGAUUAGCUAGUUGGUGAGGUAACGGCUCACCAAGGCAACGAUCCGUAGCUGGUCUGAGAGGAUGAUCAGCCACAUCGGGACUGAGACACGGCCCGAACUCCUACGGGAGGCAGCAGUGGGGAAUAUUGGACAAUGGGGGCAACCCUGAUCCAGCCAUGCCGCGUGUGUGAAGAAGGCCCUCGGGUUGUAAAGCACUUUCAGCGAGGAAGAACGCCUAGCGGUUAAUACCCGCUAGGAAAGACAUCACUCGCAGAAGAAGCACCGGCUAACUCCGUGCCAGCAGC
rnacentral:rRNA from 1 species